GGAAAAUACGACAUCAACUUUCCGGCGAAAAGCCAGCCGAGAAAGAGAAAGGUGGAGGAACUAAAAUCCUAGUUGUCCGGACAGCAGUCAUUUUUCACUCAACAAACUUCAAAAGCGAAAGCCGCCACUGAAGCAUCGUUCGGGGUGAGUCACGCGAUCAUUAAAAACAACAAGUCCUUCCAAGACGGAGAGAUGGUAAAAGAAGCAUUCGUUGAAGCAGCUGACUCAAGUAAUUAAGGUGGAGACAUGAAAGGCAGCGGAGAGUUGGAAGGUGGACAGAAAGAUGAGUAAAGGUGGAUUAUUUUUUAUGGGUCUAGGGCUGCAGCAAACAAUUUAUUGAACAGCAUGUACCAGGACAUAUAAAAAACAUCUUACAGCUUCUGUCUUCAGAGGGCACCAGACAGGGAUGCUCACUUUCCCCCUCAUGAUUUCCUAUUUUUGUGGAACCAUUAGCUGCAGCAAUCAGGCAAACUAAAGAUAUUAAAGGCAUAAAAUGCAUGAAUGUUGAACAUUAAAUCAGUCUUUAUGUGUA